rnacentral:rRNA from 1 species
UACGUAGGGGGCAAGCGUUGUCCGGAAUUACUGGGCGUAAAGCGUGCGCAGGCGGCGCGUUAAGACAGGUGUGAAAGCCCCGAGCUUAACUUGGGAAUUGCGCUUGUGACUGGCGAGCUGGAGUGUGGCAGAGGGAGGUGGAAUUCCACGUGUAGCAGUGAAAUGCGUAGAGAUGUGGAGGAACACCGAUGGCGAAGGCAGCCUCCUGGGCCAGCACUGACGCUCAUGCACGAAAGCGUGGGGAGCAAACAGG